CCACUUAUGAGUAAAAAAAUUAACACGCGUACGGUAGAAAGGAAGAAACCAAAACACGGGAUUUCUCAUCAGCAAAUUUGGCAAACAUAUCUCUCCCUCACGCGAUUAAGCAAAAACAUAGCCCCCAGUUUAUGCAACUCUCUGAAACCAUAUGGAAAGCCAAAUUUUCUCCUCCGUACCCAUGAACCAAAAGAAACCUUUAAUCUAUCAACCUGUCACUAUCUCAAUUCAUCAUCUCCCAAUUUUAUCCAAAACGGUGAAAUCAACACAGAGGAGGUAACUUUAAUCAAACAAUUUUGUGGUAUUGGAUCAGAGUUGAAAUCAAAUUGCUGCAGAAGAUAAACAACUGUCAAGCAAGCAAGCUGAAGGGAUUUGACAGGAGAUUUGUCAAAAGAAGGUGAUGAAAGCACCAAUUUUUUCAAGAAGUGUUUCAAAUCACAACAUCUUAGUUCAACUUGGUCACGAUAAAAAGGGGACUGGAGUUAUUGCUUCUGAAGCCUGAGCAUAAUGCAUAAUGGUUUGCUCCGGUUGGCGUGAGAUCCCAAGGCGCAAUAUUUGCGACACAUUAAUUGCAAUUAUAAUUAUAAUGUAUAUGAUGCACUAUUGUUUAAUGACAACAAUGUUAGUGGUUAUUUGACUACUGGAAAACCAAUAUACAAUAGAGAUAUUAUCAUUGUUCGUAUAAAGGUAUUUGAAAAAAAAAAAAGAACAAAAUUGCUAUUGGUCCCAUUGUAUCGACAUGUUUUUGGUUAUUGUUUUAAGAAUCAGACAAAUUAGAUCAUUCUUUUUAUGGCUUUACCUUAAUCACACGAUUCACACCUUGCAUUAGGCAAGCAGUGAAAUAUUUCUUUGUGGAUGGUGUUAGAAGUAAAAUCCUUAUAGAUAGUGUUCUUUUGUUGUUUGGAAGAGAACAAUGUUAUGAGUAUAAUAGGAAACUUUACUUCCAUGUGAUUUUUAUUUUUAUAUUUUUAUAUGAAACUUUUCUUAUGAGUACAAGGAAUUGAUCUUUUCAAUAUUUUUUUUUUUCUAUUUAUAUUCACAUGCGGUUUUUUAUUGAAUUUAUCCCCUUUUGUAAAUAUGAAAUUUUUUCAUUGAUUUUAUAGAAAUGUUCUUAAUGUGCAAGAAAGAAGGACCAUCAAUUAUAAAACCGGGACUUGGAGAAUUAAAUGAAUGGUUUAUCUUUGAAGGCAUGAAUUCAGGGAUAUGUAGUCAUGAAGAUGA